rnacentral:rRNA from 1 species
CGCUAUCACUCCUACGGGAGGCAGCAGUGGGGAAUCUUGGACAAUGGGCGCAAGCCUGAUCCAGCCAUGCCGCGUGAGUGAUGAAGGCCCUAGGGUCGUAAAGCUCUUUCGCCUGUGAAGAUAAUGACGGUAGCAAGGUAAAGAAACCCCCGGCUAACUCCGUGCCAGCAGCCGCGGUAAUACGGAGGGGUUAGCGUUGUUCGGAAUUACUGGGGCGUAAAGCGCGCGUAGGCUGACUAUUAAGUCAGAGGUGAAAUCCCCGGGCUCAACCCCGGAACUGCCUUUGAUACUGGUAGUCUUGAGUUCGAGAGAGGUAAGUGGAAUUCCGAGUGUAGAGGUGAAAUUCGUAGAUAUUCGGAGGAACACCAGUGGCGAAGGCGGCUUACUGGCUCGAUACUGACGCUGAGGUGCGAAAGUGUGGGGAGCAAACAGGAUUAGAUACCCUGGUAG